GGAGAGAUGGUUGAGCUGGUCUAAGGCGCACGACUGGAAAUCGUGUGUACCCGUUGAAGGUACCAAGGGUUCGAAUCCCUUUCUCUCCGCCA
rnacentral:tRNA from 1 species